UUGUUAUAUGAGGUAAGGCAAAGUAAGGUUCAUUUCAGUUUGCUUUCUAUUGUUAAGCGUUUUUUUUGUUACAUGAUAUUAGCAUUUUGUAUUUUAAAUGUUUGCUUUCUCUCUCCACUCUUUCACUGUUUCUUUGCAGGUUUCCACUGGAUCUGCAGUCGUCUUGUAUGGUGUCAGAUGUGUUGUUUGAGCCAAAACACAGUGGUUGCUGCUUGUCAUUUGAUGCUGCACACUAGGGAACCCUGACCAGUGAUGUCCUCCAUGUUAUUAUACCAUCUAUUAGCGAAUACCAGUCAGUCCAGUAGGGCAUCAAUUCUGUUGGACUGACUUGU